rnacentral:rRNA from 1 species
AUUGAACGCUGGCGGCAGGCCUAACACAUGCAAGUCGAACGAGUGGCGGACGGGUGAGUAAUGUCUGGGAAACUGCCCGAUGGAGGGGGAUAACUACUGGAAACGGUAGCUAAUACCGCAUACCAUCGGAUGUGCCCAGAUGGGAUUAGCUAGUAGGUGGGGUAACGGCUCACCUAGGCGACGAUCCCUAGCUGGUCUGAGAGGAUGACCAGCACAACUGGACCGGGGACCCGGUCCAGAUUCCUACGGGAGGCAGCAGUGGGGAAUAUUGCACAAUGGGGGCAAGCCGGAUGCAGCCAUGCCGCGUGUAUGAAGAAGGCCUUCGGGUUGUAAAGUACUUUCAGCGAGGAGGCGUUACUCGCAGAAGAAGCACCGGCUAACUCCGUGCCAGCAGCCGCGGUAAUAC